AGUCGAACGGUAACAGGUCUUCGGAUGCUGACGAGUGGCGAACGGGUGAGUAAUACAUCGGAACGCGCCCGAUCGUGGGGGAUAACGAGGCGAAAGCUUUGCUAAUACCGCAUACGAUCUACGGAUGAAAGCGGGGGAUCUUCGGACCUCGCGCGGACGGAGCGGCCGAUGGCAGAUUAGGUAGUUGGUGGGAUAAAAGCUUACCAAGCCGACGAUCUGUAGCUGGUCUGAGAGGAUGAUCAGCCACACUGGGACUGAGACACGGCCCAGACUCCUACGGGAGGCAGCAGUGGGGAAUUUUGGACAAUGGGCGAAAGCCUGAUCCAGCCAUGCCGCGUGCAGGAUGAAGGCCUUCGGGUUGUAAACUGCUUUUGUACGGAACGAAAAGCCUCUUUCUAAUAAAGAGGGGUCAUGACGGUACCGUAAGAAUAAGCACCGGCUAACUACGUGCCAGCAGCCGCGGUAAUACGUAGGGUGCAAGCGUUAAUCGGAAUUACUGGGCGUAAAGCGUGCGCAGGCGGUUUUGUAAGACAGAGGUGAAAUCCCCGGGCUCAACCUGGGAACUGCCUUUGUGACUGCAAGGCUGGAGUGCGGCAGAGGGGGAUGGAAUUCCGCGUGUAGCAGUGAAAUGCGUAGAUAUGCGGAGGAACACCGAUGGCGAAGGCAAUCCCCUGGGCCUGCACUGACGCUCAUGCACGAAAGCGUGGGGAGCAAACAGGAUUAGA
rnacentral:rRNA from 1 species